rnacentral:rRNA from 1 species
AUGAACGUCAGUGAUGAUUUAGACGAUGGAUAUGUUCUCCUUAAGCAGGAGGAUAUAGUCGAUGGAAUUGGAUGCUUCAUGGAUGCGUACUUCCUAUCGCUGAAAGAAACUAAGGUGCGGGUGUGCGUCGACGGGGCAUUAAUCAUGUGUUCAUCAGCAUGUCAGAGCUAUUCUUCGUCCAGAACAUCAACUAUUUGCAUCGUUUGUUCCCUGUCAUGCAAUCUUCUGAUUCGCAAAGAUUUCCUGUCCAUUAAGGACGACGGUACACUGGGCCACAUGACCACAACCGCCUGGGUGUGA